GGAGCGGCCGCUGCCAUGGGCUCAGCCGGGGACCGGCGGGGUGAUGCUGCGGCCGGAGGAGCCCCCGCUGCCGGCGGCUGAGGAGAGCAGAGCGGAGUGCGGCGGCUCGCCCGCUGCCUGACCCCGCCGCCCGGGGAAGAGCACCCUUUCUUCUGUCUAAUACCUUCCCAUGACAGCAACUCCCUUUGCCGGGUUGUUCCAGCCAGGAGCUGCACCUGAUUUGGGAGCUUUAAGAACGGCAAAACCCACCCCGGAGUUACCCCAACCGUUGGAUCGAUAACUGCAAUUCCAAUUUCAGAGGCGACCCCAGUUUCCUUCACUUUAUCACCAGGUGAAAGCAGGCGAGGCCCCCGCCUGUGCGGUGCCUGCCUCGCCGCCCGCAGGUGACGGAGCGGGAGGUGAGGAUGGCGGAGCCGCUGAGGAGGCCGAGGCAGCGCCGCGGGGCAGCGGCCGCGAUACAUCUGAGACCCUGGGUGAGACCAUUCCACUGAUUCAAGACAAGGUGAUGGAAAUGAACCACCUCUGUGCCAAAGUGCAUAAAGUAGAGGCAUUUGUUAAAAUGGUUGCACACUGUUUUCCUUCCUAGAAGAGCAAAUGCUUGAAGCCGAGAAGAGCCAUGGCACCUUUCUUAAUACUCUUUGCAAAUUACUUCAGUGUGCAACUAUCUCGUCAUUGAAAACUAGACACCCUCUGUCAGCAGCACACCCCUGUGACCUGCCAAAACUACUGAACCGAAGACUUUUUUCCUAUGAACUAUGUAGGUACCACGUCUCAAAAUAAUUUUUGGCUACUAGAAAGUUUCUGGGAAAGACUGCCCGAGUUGCUUCUCACAGUUCAUACUUUAUGGCAUUAGGAAGAAGCAACUGUUACAUUUCAGAUCUUUGGCUAGCAUCUGCAGGGGAAGCUAAAAGUUUCUGAUCAUAUUGUAGCUAUAUAGAGGCUGGAACAUUUAAGAUUCGAUCAUAGUGGUUUGCACUUCAUCAGCUUCUGAAAUCAGUGGAGAGGAUGUGCAAAUCCUCUUUUACCUUCACGUUUUUAUACCUCAGAUGGUCAGAAGGUUGAAGAGUGCUCUGGAAGCAUGCUAAAGCUGUGAUGUGCUAAUAGUGCCAGCUUCACUAUGCACAAAUGAUCAGAUUUUACAAGAGAAGCCCAUGUCAGAAUUUAGAAGUUCAAUAGACAGCACAUGGAUGGCUAAAGCUCCCAGCACUCUACUUCAGACUAGGAACAGGGGGUUAUGAGCUGUUGUGUAAUGUAAGUAAGUUGAAUGGUAUAAAUAAACUGUCUGCAAAGCUGUUAUGGACCUUUGGGUGUGCUGCUUUGUGAUGCAGAUGCUCUUUAGCAGGACCAGGAGUAGCACAGUUCAUCUCGGCACCUGGAGCUUUAUUUCCAAAUAGGUGUAGGGAAACAAAACCCACUCAGUUCUCUGAAGAAGGAGCACUAGGAAGAGAAGGUUAUACACUUGAUUGGCUUUACAUACAUUCACACAGCACAGUAUGAAGAGAGAGAAAUAAAUGCUCUUGUUUUAAAAAUACCUGUGGAAAAGCUCAAGAUGGAGGAUCCAAUGCAAAUUCUGUGAAGGGGAAAAAAGCAGCUUAUGGUGCAAGUAAAGCUACAUGGCUUUGAGUAACCAUGGAGACCAAUGCUUUUCUGCUGCAGAAAUAAAUGAACUCAACCUUUUCAUAUUUAUUAGUGGGACUGAUGAUGAAAGAUAGAUAAAGUCAAAUUAAAACGUAAAGCACUAGAAGUCAGAUCUAGUCAGUGUCUCUGCCCCUGCAAUGCAGGUUAUUGUAAUGGAUUAUUACAAAGGAGCUGGUGUUACAGUGAGGCAGAUUAAGUUAUGAGAGGAACAGAAGACACUUUAGUUAUACCAACCUGUUUAUCCAAAUAGCAGCUGCUUUAUUAACAGAAAUGAAGAGACAGUUCACACAACAUACUCCUGAAAUCUUUUGGGUUUUGGUAAAAAUGGAAAUAAACUUGUUUUAACACCACAGCAGCGUAUGAAAUAAACGUAUGGCAAAAUGGCAAA